rnacentral:rRNA from 1 species
UACGUAGGGUGCAAGCGUUUGUCCGGAAUUAUUGGGCGUAAAGGGCUCGUAGGCGGUCCGUCACGUCGGGAGUGAAAUCCUGGGGCUUAACCCCAGAACUGCUUCCGAUACGGGCAGACUAGAGGUAGGUAGGGGAGAAUGGAAUUCCUGGUGUAGCGGUGGAAUGCGCAGAUAUCAGGAGGAACACCAGUGGCGAAGGCGGUUCUCUGGGCCUUACCUGACGCUGAGGAGCGAAAGCGUGGGGAGCAAACAGG